AGAACGCUGNCGGCGUGCCUAACACAUGCAAGUCGAGCGGAGAUACGAAGUAGUUUACUACAGAAAUAUCUUAGCGGCGGACGGGUGAGUAACACGUGGGCAACCUGCCUUGGAGUGGGGGAUAACACCGGGAAAUCGGUGCUAAUACCGCAUAACAUACACACAUCACAUGGUGAGUGUAUCAAAGGAGAAAUCCGCUUUGAGAUGGGCCCGCGGCUGAUUAGCUAGUUGGUAAGGUAACGGCUUACCAAGGCGACGAUCAGUAGCCGACCUGAGAGGGUGACCGGCCACACUGGAACUGAGACACGGUCCAGACUCCUACGGGAGGCAGCAGUGGGGAAUAUUGCGCAAUGGGGGAAACCCUGACGCAGCAACGCCGCGUGGAGGAAGAAGGUUUUCGGAUUGUAAACUCCUGUCUUCUGGGACGAUAAUGACGGUACCAGAGGAGGAAGCCACGGCUAACUACGUGCCAGCAGCCGCGGUAAUACGUAGGUGGCGAGCGUUGUCCGGAAUUACUGGGCGUAAAGGGCGCGUAGGCGGCUCUUUAAGUCAGAUGUGAAAACCCGAGGCUUAACUUCGGGAGUGCAUUUGAAACUGGAGAGCUUGAGUGCAGGAGAGGUAAGUGGAAUUCCUAGUGUAGCGGUGAAAUGCGUAGAUAUUAGGAGGAACACCAGUGGCGAAGGCGACUUACUGGACUGUAACUGACGCUGAGGCGCGAAAGCGUGGGGAGCAAACAGGAUUAGAUACCCUGGUAGUCCACGCUGUAAACGAUGGAUACUAGGUGUGGGAGGUAUCGACCCCUUCCGUGCCGCAGUUAACGCAAUAAGUAUCCCGCCUGGGGAGUACGGCCGCAAGGUUGAAACUCAAAGGAAUUGACGGGUCCCCGCACAAGCAGCGGAGCGUGUGGUUUAAUUCGUUGCUACACGAAGAACCUUACCAGGGUUUGACAUACAGGUGGUAGUGAAGCGAAAGCAGAACGACCCUUCGGGGAGCCUGUACAGGUGUNNCAUGGCUGUCGUCAGCUCGUGUCGUGAGAUGUUCGGUUAAGUCCGCUAACGAGCGCAACCCUCGCUGUGUGUUACAUGUGUCACACGGGACUGCCGGUGUCAAGCCGGAGGAAGGUGGGGAUGACGUCAAGUCAGCAUGACCUUUAUAUCCUGGGCUACACACACGCUACAAUGGUCGGCACAAUGGGUCGCUAAGCCGCGAGGUAGAGCCAAUCCUCAAAGUCGGCCUCAGUUCAGAUCGCAGGCUGCAACUCGCCUGCGUGAAGCCGGAGUCGCUAGUAACCGCAGGUCAGCUAUACUGCGGUGAAUACGUUCCCGGGGGUUGUACACACCGCCCGUCACGUCAUGGGAGCUGGCAACACCUGAAGCCGGUAUCCUAACCGCAAGGAGGGAGCCGUCGAGGGGGGGUUGGGACGGGCNCAA
rnacentral:rRNA from 1 species